UCGUCAUCUUCCGAACCUUGGCCCUCACACAGAAUCUGUCGAACCGCCAAUCAUCCAAGCACUUAAUAUACGCAUUAAGAUCCAGGAAAACAAAAAUGAAAAAGCACCGAGAAAAAUGAUUCCGAUUCCUCUUCACUCGUGGUCGGGACGGGCACUUCGCUGUUCCGCGGCUGCUUUUUCGAACACUUGCAGAGAUUCGGAUGAUCUCUUUCUAGUUUAUUAAGUAAACUCCAUUUGACUCCCAAGCGAUCUUAAAAUUUCGCUUGUAAAAGACGCAUUAAGAUCCGAAAUGCGCAAUACUCUGCAGAGCUCAAACAGAGCGUAGUUCGUCGGUUCUCUCUAUUUGGCGGCGAUCAGUUUGGAAUAUCGGCGACCCACUCUUCUUUGGAGGGUAAUGCGUCGACCAAUAUCAUGUGAGUGCAAGUUUCGAGUGAUUUUGGCAUCUAAGGUCGUUGUUUUGGGGGUUCUGAACUGACGAUUUCGUCGUUUUUUGUGUGAUUGAUUGGGUUGUUUGGCUUUUAGCUCUUGUUUAUAGAUCAAAACCUCAGCGUUAGUUCAUAGAUUUUUAUGACAUUGAUGAAACUGAGAGAGGAAGAGAGUUGUCUUUUAAGGCGGGCUUUUGGUAAUUUUGUUUGUAAACGUGUUUGUGAGGAGAACUUUGGAAGGAAUCGGAGAUUUGAAUGCUGGGUCAGGUUGAACUUGGGUUAGAAAUGUCUCGGUUGGGUGAUAGGUCAUCGUCAGCGACAGUGAUUUAGAAACGUGAUUUAGAAACGGGACGCUUUUGAUGAUUGAUUUGGAAAGUUUCGUUACCUUUGAGGUGUUCGCAAUGCGGCGUUUAAUUUUUCAUUUUUGUUCUUGUGUUCUAAUCGCUCAACUUUUGGGUGUUGAUUUAUUGUCAUUGAGUAUUUUUAUUGUGAAGUUUAACUUAUAAUGGUAGUGCAGUGUUGUAGAGUAUUUGCUUAGAUGAAGUGUUAAUAAUAUGUAUCCUGGUGAACUUAUAAUUGGCUGUUCUAGUGGCCAGGAGGAUGAGGCCAUGACCAAUAUGGAUGAUUUCUGUGGUAAUUACGAUAGUGUAUAUUUCUUGUAGAAAAGUAGGGUUUAGAGGAAGUUAAACCAAGUUGGCUUUGUGGUAAUGGCGUCUAUAAGGAGAACCUUGUCUCCAGUGCCUCGAGCUGGAGCUUUACUAAAUGGGGAGGCCUGUUCGGUUGCUUCUCCUUUGUCCAAGUCUUCAUCAUGCACUCAAAUCUCCACACAAUCUGGUGGGGUGUCCUCGCCUCUGUUCGAUGCAUCAGAAUGCUAUUCGGCCUGGUAUAAACUUCAAGCCUUAAUUUUUUGUCUUUCCUUACAAAGGUCUUCUCGGCCACCAGAGAGGUCAAAAGCAAGGGGGCAGGUUUGGAGGAGGUCUCUUUUUCACUUCUUCAUUUGUUUUAUGGUUGGGAUUUUCAUUGGAUUGACCCCAAUUGUCUCAAUGAAUUUAUCCAUGAAUCUUAUGUCUAAACAUCAAGCCUUCUCCUUUGAAAUGAUUCCCCCCAUUGGGAAAUUUGAGUCAUAUGGUGUUGUAUCAAGAAACAAGACAUCGUCUGUUGAAAGUCAAGGCAUAAAUAAUACUGCCACAUCAAAUCCAAGAGCAAAGAAGAAUGUGACUUCUGAUGAUACCCGUGCUACUCUAUCACUCAAUCAAAAUUCAAGUUUGGUGCUUCACAGGCUUUUGAUCAUUGUGACCGCAACGCAUGUUCGACCACUUCAAGCCUAUUAUUUAAAUCGUUUGGCUCACACAUUGAAGCUGGUUCCACCACCCCUGUUAUGGAUUGCUGUGGAGAUGACCUCCCAAUCUGCUGAAACAGCUGACAUCUUGAGGAGAAGUGGUGUUAUGUACCGGCAUCUUGUGUGCAAUAAGAAUUUAACUGACAUCAAAGGCAGAAGCAUCCACCAAAGAAAUGUGGCACUGUCUCACAUUCAAACACACCAUCUUGAUGGAGUUGUCUACUUUGCUGAUGAUGAUAACAUCUACUCUCUUGAUAUUUUUGAGGAAAUGAGGCAAAUCAGGCGGUUUGGGACAUGGAUGGUGCCAAAGAUGAUGGAGAGCAAAGGCAAAGUUAUCCUGGAGGGUCCCAUUUGUAAUGGGACUCAAGUCAUUGGAUGGCACACAGAUGAAAUGACAAGAAAAUUUCGAAGAUUCCAUGCAGAUAUUUCAGGUUUUGCUUUCAAUAGUACAAUCCUCUGGGAUCCAAAGAGAUGGCAUCGACCUACUCUUGAAGCUAUCAGGCAGCUUGACACAGUGAAGGAAAGCUUCCAAGUUAGCACUUUUAUUGAGCAAGUUGUGGAGGAUGAAAGCCAGAUGGAAGGCUUGCUGCAGGACUGCUCAAGAAUCAUGGUUUGGCAUGUUCAUCUAGAGUCAGCUUAUUCCUUCUACCCUCCCGAAUGGUACAUGAAGAGUAAUCUUGAUGUCAUUUCUCCUCUUGCCUGAAAUUCUUCUUGAGUUCAUUUGUAGUAGUGAAGCUUAUUGAGGAGGCUAUGGCUGUUGAAUCUUGGAGACCAAGCAUUAGAACCUAAACUGACUAGGUCAAUGGGACACCACUAAUGCAAUGUCAAACCUCUGAAGGCUUUGACUAAUAAUUCUCUGGAAACCAGUCCACUCUUUGCCUUAGCAACAAUAUUUGCUUUUUCUUUUUGUUUUGGAUAUGCUGGGUUUCCUGGGCUUGCGCGCCAAACUAAUCCAACACCUACGCCAGUUGUGCCCUUAGCCAACACGUAGGAGGUAAAUCGCAGAUAUACGCUGCAAGCAGCAGAGUUUGAACCCCAGACUUCACCUUUAUUGUCAUUUAUGUGUCAUCAUUAUGGUCCAUCAUUUCCUAGGUCCAACUUCAUUUACAGAGUUCAUUUGUGAGUCAAGUUCUAAAGUUCAUUAUAAGGUUUUUAAGUUUAGAGAAGUUAGAGAUUGAUGUGGUCAAGAAUCAUCAUUUUCCUAAUGUGCAGUUCAGUUCUUGGGUUGGUUUGUCUUGCUAGUCAUUGUUUCAUUUUGGAUUAUUAAAUGUGCCCUGCACAUUAUUCCUUUUCUGUUUUAAAGCCAAUCAAGUCCAUUAGUUUUGUUCUUGGAUCUGUUUGCUAGAGUAUUUUAUUCAAGCUUCAAUCAUUAAAUGUGGCUGAGGGCGGGCCUUGGAUCAAUGGAAAGGUUGCUCCUUUGCAACCGUUUGGUCAUGAGUUUGAGUCCAAGGAAACAACCUCUCUACAUAAAAAUAGGGAUCAGGAUGUGUAUAUUGUGACGUCCCCUUACCCUUGUGAAGCAGGGAGCCUUAUGGCCUGGGGAGGCCCUUUCUUAAUCAUUAAAUGUGGCUGUCAAGCUAUAUUUCAAAGACCAAUUAUUCCAAAAUGCCCAAAAAACUCUUUGUUAUUGCUACUAGAGGGAAGACAUUGGUUGAUAAAAUGAGUAAUAUGUUAGUAGAAACUUUUAAAGAAAGAGAAAAUGACAUUGAAAAUAUUCAAAAUGAAGAAUGACCGACUAAAAAAAGACUUAUUUUUAGACAAGAUGCGUGACAGGAAGCACGCCUAAUUAGUUAAUAAUUGACAGUAGUUGCACAAAUCUAUUAGUUUAAAACAGUGGUGCAAAGAAUGAAGCUUGAAGUGGUGUAACAUCUUUGGUUUUAUUGCAUUCUUUGGUGCAAUAAAGAAGAGGAAAUGCCUGUGGUGAUCCUUUUAUCAAUAGUAAUAUCUUAUAAAGAGUUCAUUUGGUAUGAUGUAGUACCAAUGGACAUGUCAUAUUCUACAUAAUCGUCCUCCCUAAAAUAAUAGAAGUGUUGUCCUUGAUAAGCAUGCCAACACUUACUCCUUAUGUCAAAAAUUGUGACAAGAACAAGAAAAGGCUAGUCUGAAAGCAUGCAAAGGAAGUUGAUGUGAAGAGCAAGGACAAGGAGGAGGCUUGGGCCUUUUGAUAUGUCAAUGGCCUAAUAAAGCUUACAAGUGCUUUUUUCACUGAAAGUCAACUUAUAGUAGAUGAAGCCUGUGGUAUAUUUACUUACACUAAAUAUAUUAUUAGCGGUAUUACAACAAAAAUGCAAGCUACGAUACUAAUGUUGACCCCAUU